rnacentral:rRNA from 1 species
GGAGAGGGCAACUUUGGGGCCGUUCCUUGUCUAUGUUCCUUGGAACAGGACGUCAUAGAGGGUGAGAAUCCCGUGUGGCGAGGAGUGCGGUUCUUUGUAAAGUGCCUUCGAAGAGUCGAGUUGUUUGGGAAUGCAGCUCUAAGUGGGUGGUAAAUUCCAUCUAAAGCUAAAUAUUGGCGAGAGACCGAUAGCGAACAAGUACAGUGAUGGAAAGAUGAAAAGAACUUUGAAAAGAGAGUGAAAAAGUACGUGAAAUUGUUGAAAGGGAAGGGCAUU